CAGUGGCUGUGCAGUCAAGGAGAGCUCGGAGCUGGCUCUAUGGGAGAGGGACCUUCUCCUGUCACAGCCUUCCCAGCUGGGAGAAGCAGCGCCGGCUCUGCCCCCAGAGCCCUAUCAGCCGAGCCUGUGGAGAAUUAAUCACUUGCGUUUUAAAUGCCAAUACAGCCCUUUCUGCCUUCUUCCCCCAGUGAUGCGGAUGCGGCGAAGGCAGCAAAUCCUCCGGCUGUGCGUGCCCUCCCCGGACUGCUGCUGCCGCGCUCGCGUGUGUGCGUGGCUGGGAGCGCUGCCUAGGUGCAGCCGGGAAUGAGGCAGCUGUGGGGCAGGGGACAGCACAGCUCCAGGGGUAACUGAUACAAGGCGGGGGGGACCCCCCCAUUAAGAUCACACACCCCUGUGGGGCUCCAAGUUGCUAGAAGACAGGGGUCUAUUGUGCCUCUACUUCAUCUCUGCCAUGCCCGGUAUGGAAGCAGGGCGCAAUCGCCCCUCCAGAAGCAGAAGGCGAAGUCGUUCGCAAUGAAUCCAUGGCAGCUUCGAUCGAGUGGUGAGCUGAAGCACCUACUCACAGGCCACUCCUUGAUGUGACUGAAGAGAGGCCUUUCCCAGCACUCGCCGAGGAGAGCAGAGCCCUGGAUUUACCUCCUGCACACCCUGGCACCCCCAGCACUGGCACCGCGAGAUUCCAGUGACAGAUGGAUCUCUCUCGUGUGCACUUGCUCUUUUCCUCUCUGUAUUUAUGUUUUCAACAUGUUUGAUCAGAAGCUCUGAAGCUUCUCAGAAGUGAACCUGGGGAAGAAGGAAGAGAAGGAGAAAGAACUGAGGGAGCGUGAGCGACAGAGGAGGCAACCCUGCGUUGUACUUCCGAAUCACACCGUGGAGGGGCGAGGGAAGACUA